rnacentral:rRNA from 1 species
UACGUAGGGUCCGAGCGUUGUCCGGAAUUAUUGGGCGUAAAGGGCUCGUAGGCGGUUUGUCACGUCGGGCGUGAAAACUCAGGGCUCAACCCUGAGCGUGCGUUCGAUACGGGCAGACUAGAGGUAUGCAGGGGAGAACGGAAUUCCUGGUGUAGCGGUGGAAUGCGCAGAUAUCAGGAGGAACACCGGUGGCGAAGGCGGGUCUCUGGGCAGUAACUGACGCUGAGGAGCGAAAGCGUGGGGAGCGAACAGG